GGCCGCGGGAAUUCCUUUCAGGCCUAACACAUGCAAGUCGAACGGGAUCCCUGCCUUCUUGCUGCCGGGGUGAGAGUGGCGAACGGGUGAGUAAUGCGUGACCGACCUGCCCCAUGCACCGGAAUAGCUCCUGGAAACGGGUGGUAAUGCCGGAUGUUCCACAUGUGCGCAUGCGAGUGUGGGAAAGGCUUUUUGCGGCAUGGGAUGGGGUCGCGUCCUAUCAGCUUGUUGGUGGGGUAACGGCCUACCAAGGCGUUGACGGGUAGCCGGCCUGAGAGGGCGACCGGCCACAUUGGGACUGAGAUACGGCCCAGACUCCUACGGGAGGCAGCAGUGGGGAAUAUUGCACUUUGGGCGCAAGCCUGAUGCAGCGACGCCGCGUGCGGGAUGGAGGCCUUCGGGUUGUAAACCGCUUUUGUUCAAGGGCAAGGCACGGUUUCGGCCGUGUUGAGUGGAUUGUUCGAAUAAGCACCGGCUAACUACGUGCCAGCAGCCGCGGUAAUACGUAGGGUGCAAGCGUUAUCCGGAUUUAUUGGGCGUAAAGGGCUCGUAGGCGGUUCGUCGCGUCCGGUGUGAAAGUCCAUCGCUUAACGGUGGAUCCGCCCCGGGUACCGGCGGGCUUGAGUGCGGUAGGGGAGACUGGAAUUC
rnacentral:rRNA from 1 species